GACAUUUUGCGUAGAAGAAGAAGGAGAAGAUCCACCAUUGCUAGCUCUUUUGAGAUUUACAGUUUUUGAACAUUUGUGGAGCAGAGGUGCACCAUGGCUUGCCACAAUAUCACAAUGGGUUCUUGGAGAGCCGCUGCUGUUGACUUGCUGCAUGUCUCCUCUCUGCGGCAAAACUCCACAAAUACUCCACUCACCAAGUUCCAGAGGGAGAGAUUGUGUUAAGAAUAUGGAAAAAGACGGACCAAGGCAAGAAGAGGAGGAGGAAGAGGAA
rnacentral:lncRNA from 1 species